rnacentral:rRNA from 1 species
UACGUAGGUGGCAAGCGUUGUCCGGAAUUAUUGGGCGUAAAGGGCGCGCAGGCGGCGUCGUAAGUCGGUCUUAAAAGUGCGGGGCUUAACCCCGCGAGGGGACCGAAACUGCGAUGCUAGAGUAUCGGAGAGGAAAGCGGAAUUCCUAGUGUAGCGGUGAAAUGCGUAGAUAUUAGGAGGAACACCAGUGGCGAAAGCGGCUUUCUGGACGACAACUGACGCUGAGGCGCGAAAGCCAGGGGAGCAAACGGG